rnacentral:lncRNA from 1 species
CAGGAGACCUGCCACCCCCAGGAGACCCAGGAGAACCAGGAGACCUGCCACCCCCAGGAGACCCAGGAGACCUGCCACCCCCAGGAGACCCAGGAGACCCAGGAGACCUGCCACCCCCAGGCAGGGAGGGAGGGCAGUGUGCUUGUUCUGGGUCUGCAGGGUAGAGAUGCUGCGGCAGGCCCUGGCUGCAUCCCCCAGAACUCCAGUCUCUCCCUGUGGAUCCCAUCGUCCAGGGCCUCCCCGUGGCCACCGUCUGGUCUCCUUUGGGGUCCCGGCUCUGCCUGCAGCCUGAAGCCCAGGCCCUGGAUCAGUGCUGGCAUCGCUCUCCUCCCAGCCAAGCACCAGCUGCUGAGAAAAACAAGAUUGCCACCUGGAUGUUACAGUCCCAGGUAGGUGACAAAGGUCCUGGGAGGGGCUCACACACAGGCCGCCUGGAAAAAGCUCUGCGUUGGACACAGCUGAGCACCUUAGGCACCCCGGACGGGGCUGACCCUCUGCUGGCUCAGGAGGAAGCACAGAGACGUGCUCCAGUGGCAUUUCCGACUUGGAUGAAAGCAGGAAAGAGCUGAAGCGUCUGGGGAGCCUCCAGGAGGUGACCUCGGGCUGAAAGUGCCGAUAUGCAACAGCCUGCUCCCCCGGACCUGAGCCAAGGGGCUGCUCUGAGCAGGGCAGGGUGGGCCUGGAGGGGAGCCAGGGACCCAAGAGACUUCCGAGGGCCCCAGGAGCCAGGAAGCAGCACCCUGGCUCCGCAAACGUUAGAUCACAAAGGGCGGCUCUGCGGUUCCCUGCUUUGACUCCUCUGCCAAGAGUGAAACAGCACAGCCUCGAGGUGUUUUAGAAGCUUGUUUUGAAAAAUGCAGGCAUGUCUUUUAUUUCCUGGCAGCUUUCUGGGCAAUUAGGAUUCCUCCCACAGGCACAGCGGGGGCUGGCGUCCUGGGCCGGGGGAUGGGCAGGGCCUCCGGGGCUGAAGGGGAUGGUCUCCUGCUGAGCGGCCUCACGCCAGCCCUGAAGGGAAGGAGGCUGGCCCCUGGCCCAGCCACCGACGGCAAUACUGGGCUAGGCCUCCGGGGAAACACACAUGGGACGCCUCCGGGGAAACACACAUGGGACAGAAGCAGUCACCCAAGGGGUUGUUCCAGUGGGAGGGAAGAGAGCUACCACCAGGGAGAGCCAGGGUGACUUCCUGGAGGAGGGGACAUCUGAGCUGCAUUCAGCGCCCCCGGACAGGGGAGGGGUAAGGGAGGGGCUCCCAGGAGAGUGUUGAUGCCAUGUCCUCUCUCUCCUGCAGACUGAGGUGCUGGGUCUCCCUGUGGCUUCCCUGUCCCCAUGGGGCCAUGCCCCCAGCCCCCGUGCCCUUUCUCAUGCCCUGUCCCUCUUGCUGCCCUCACAGCCUCUCCCUCUCCACCAGCCCCUCUGCUUCCUUGUGUUGACAGCAGCUCCUGCCGCCUGCUCCUUGCCUCACUUGCUUCCCACUUUGGCCAGGUGCUCCACCAGUCCCUAUGGUCAGCAGGGCCACAGCCCAAUCCCCUAGAGGCCCCAGGGUGUGCCUGGCCUGGAGGCAGUGGCCCCACACUGUCUGGGUGUCCACACCUGCCCUUUCCAUCCAUCUCCAGCCUGGGCUGCUGCCUCCUGGGCUCUUGAGAUCUUGCUGCCUUCAGCCUGUCCACACCUCAGAGGGAGGGGCCUCCUCACAGUCACCCUGCAUCUCUGCAGUGGCCACUGGGCCACUGUCACCUCCAGCCACCACCAUCAGAGAUGCAAUCUUGAGAUGCAAACCUGGUCUGUCCCCCACUCCCCACAUACCUGAGAGUCUUACUCAUGGGCACCCCCGUCACUCCUUCAGGACCCAAGCUCCAUCCCCAUGUCCUGCCCCCAGUGAGCCUCCAAGGCUGCCUUGCCUGCUCCACUUUGCCGCCUCCAACCCACCCCAGAGCUGAUGGCAGGAAAUGUUUGCUGAAAGAUGGGUUUGAGGGCCCAAGAGGCCGUGCCUGACCCUUGACAAGCUCCUGGACAAGCUCAGAGGACAGUGUGAUCCUGGGCUGCCCUCCUGUGUGGAGGCAUUGGGGUCAGGGGCCUGGGCUGGCCACAGUCCUGCUCCCACUUGGUGCUCCCUGACUGGCCCGCAGAGCCCAGAGGCGACUUCAGCAUGUGCUGAGCCCCGGGCACCACGGGAGCAGGGCAGGGGCUGCACACAGUGGUGUCUAAUAACUGACACCUGCUGGCUGAAUGAAUGACUUGCCCUGCUUUGCAAAGAACAAGAGAAUGGAUGCCAAGGCACCUAGGUGUUGAGGCUGGUCCCCGUAGAUGAUGUAUGGGGUGUCCCACCUGCCUGGUCGCAGACAGACGGCAGUGUGACCAGGCCCCGACCCUUCCAGCCUGUCUUGCCCUUGGAUCUGCCCAGAGCUUCCACCCCCACCACCAGUCAGAACACCAGGACACCCUGUCUGGCCUAGAAGCCCAUGGACAGAAGGAGUGCAAGGAGUGCUAUCAGGUGGGACCCUGUGGGGGCAGCUUGUCCUGGCCACCCCUUCGUGGUGAAUAGGAGGCAGGAGGAGACUGGAGCCUGCAGAGUAGGUUAGUUAGGAGUGCCCCGGGUCACCACGAGCAGCCCUCGGAGGGAGGGGCUGUGCUUCCCAGGUGGGGCUCUGAGCCAGCCCCAGGAGCCCCUGGUCACGGCACUGACUCUGUUCCCCCACUUGGGAUCUGCCCUGGGUGGUCUGCAUUCCUGCCACGCCCCCAGGUGGCCCUGGAGCAGCACAGAAGCCUGCUUUGGAGACACACGUGGUCCGGACCUGUCAGAGCUGGGGAGCUGCCACCUCCGGGCUGUGCUCAGUGAGUCAGGUGGUACGGCCGCCUUCACCCACGGCAGGGUGUAACUGCGAAUGCCCUUCUGGGCAGUGGCAGACAGAAGGAAGGUGCCCUGAAAAGCUCCCUGCCUUGGAUCCAGUGAGCCCACGUGGGGCAGUUUAUUGCAAGGGAGGGAAAGAGAGGGAGGCCUGCACGAAGGCCCGUGUAGGACAGACACACAUCGAUUCAGGAGACUGAAACACCACAGAGCCAAUAACUAGCGGCCGGUUAAACCAAUCACAGUGUAGCCAUAGAAUGGAAUCUUGUAUUGUCAUGAAAAAGCAUGUUUUCACAGAAAAGUUAGGGCAUGGGUAAAUGCUCGUGGCGUAACAUUGAAAGAAAUAGGCAACACAGAGACCCAUAUGAGAUGGUAACCCGAAGUCUGUUUUGUAAAACCCUACCCUUGAAAACAGAUAAGGAAGAACUUCACCAAAAUGUUAAAAGCACUUAUUUUUGGGUGAUGGAAUUACGGAUAUAUCAUCCCAAUGAUCACAAGAUGAACAAUAGUUAUUUACUGAGCGGCUUCUAGGAGUAGCACUGUUCCGGAAGCCUGACAGCACAGCGAACAAAACAGACAAAAAUAAAUACAUUUAAUACUAAAAAAA